rnacentral:misc_RNA from 1 species
GAUGAAGAACGUAGCGAAAUGCGAUACUUGGUGUGAAUUGCAGAAUCCCGUGAACCAUCGAGUCUUUGAACGCAAGUUGCGCCCGAAGCCAUUAGGCCGAGGGCACGCCUGCCUGGGCGUCACACGUCGUUGCCCCCCCAUCUACUCCUUCGGGAUUGCGGGGGGCGGAUGAUGGCCUCUCGUGCGCCUCGUCGCGCGGUUGGCCUAAAUGCCAAGUCCUCGGCGACGCACGCCACGACAAUCGGUGGUUGCGAAACCUCGGUUGCCUGUCGUGUGCGGUCGUCGCGCAUCGAGGGCUCGAAAAAAUUGCCGGGCUUCGGCUCGACUUUCAACGCGACCCCAGGGCAGGCGGGGUUACCCGCUGAAUUUAAGCAUAUCAAUAAGCGGAGGA